rnacentral:lncRNA from 1 species
GAUGGCAAAUCAUGGAUAAAUCGUCAAACCUCAAUAUCAGUCAUAUGAUAGAUUUGAUUAGCUCAAGUCCAGUUGUGACUUCUAUAGAAACUCUUUUCCAUCAAUCACACUACUAUGACCAUAGAUUUUUGGAUUUAGUCUUUCAAAUCUCAUAGAACUACUCAUCUCUAUUAGGAUCGAAAGAUCCUAUCUUGAUGCGUACCCCACUCCUAUAGUGGACCAACU